rnacentral:tmRNA from 1 species
GGGGGCGAAAAGGUUUCGACCGGGUAACUAGUUAUCAUGCUGGCGUGUCGUGGUUGGUCAGUUGGCCACGUAAAUAGCUGACCAAAACUUAACUGCAGAAACGCAGUUCGCUUUGGCUGCCUAAUUAGUGCAGCCCUGAUCUUGGCCUCUUCGCCUGAAAGAAGCUGAAGUUCAGUCACCAAGUCAGGAUCGCAGGAGCUUGAGGCCGCAAGGCCGUGUCGGAGGCGGCUCCCGCUAAACUUCACCGCCGAAUAGAGAGAGUGCUGCCUGCGUACUGGGCAUCCUCUCUUGAACGAAUCGGGUAAAAGCCCGGUAACUCAGUGCGCUACACACGUAGAGGGCAGGGUAGCAGUACUUUGGGACGCGGGUUCGAUUCCCGCCGCCUCCAUUC